AUCACAUAGUCUUUACUUGUCCUAUAAACCAAUCGUCCUUAUAUGAUUGUCUUCCCAAUUCCAUUCUUCGCCCUAUAAAUUUUAAAUCGGUUUUAUCUUAUGUAAAUACCCCUUUUAUUGAAAUUUUGUGUACAUAUAUUCGUGAUAACAAUAUUAGAUUGUGAUGUCUCUACUAACAUUUAUGUUUGUGUUUGUUUUAGGUCAAUCAACUCCUGUAAAUAU